CGGGUGAGUAACACGUGGAUAACCUACCUAUAAGACUGGGAUAACUUCGGGAAACCGGAGCUAAUACCGGAUAAUAUUUUGAACCGCAUGGUUCAAAAGUGAAAGACGGUCUUGCUGUCACUUAUAGAUGGAUCCGCGCUGCAUUAGCUAGUUGGUAAGGUAACGGCUUACCAAGGCAACGAUGCAUAGCCGACCUGAGAGGGUGAUCGGUCACACUGGAACUGAGACACGGUCCAGACUCCUACGGGAGGCAGCAGCC
rnacentral:rRNA from 1 species